rnacentral:rRNA from 1 species
AGGGCGGGACACGUGAUAUCCUGUCUGAAUAUGGGGGGACCAUCCUCCAAGGCUAAAUACUCCUGACUGACCGAUAGUGAACCAGUACCGUGAGGGAAAGGCGAAAAGAACCCCUGUGAGGGGAGUGAAAUAGAACCUGAAACCGUGUACGUACAAGCAGUAGGAGCACCUUCGUGGUGUGACUGCGUACCUUUUGUAUAAUGGGUCAGCGACUUAUAUUCAGUGGCAAGGUUAACCGUAUAGGGGAGCCGUAGCGAAAGCGAGUCUUAACUGGGCGCUCAGUCUCUGGAUAUAGACCCGAAACCGGGUGAUCUAGCCAUGGGCAGGUUGAAGGUUGAGUAACAUCAACUGGAGGACCGAACCGACUAAUGUUGAAAAAUUAGCGGAUGACUUGUGGCUAGGGGUGAAAGGCCAAUCAAACUCGGAGAUAGCUGGUUCUCCCCGAAAGCUAUUUAGGUAGCGCCUCGGACGAAUACUACUGGGGGUAGAGCACUGUUAAGGCUAGGGGGUCAUCCCGACUUACCAACCCUUUGCAAACUCCGAAUACCAGUAAGUACUAUCCGGGAGACACACGGCGGGUGCUAACGUCCGUCGUGGAGAGGGAAACAACCCAGACCGCCAGCUAAGGUCCCAAAGUAUUGCUAAGUGGGAAACGAUGUGGGAAGGCUCAGACAGCUAGGAUGUUGGCUUAGAAGCAGCCAUCAUUUAAAGAAAGCGUAAUAGCUCACUAGUCGAGUCGGCCUGCGCGGAAGAUGUAACGGGGCUAAGCAAUACACCGAAGCUGCGGCAAUGUCUUUUAGACAUUGGGUAGGGGAGCGUUCUGUAAGCCGUUGAAGGUGAAUCGUAAGGUUUGCUGGAGGUAUCAGAAGUGCGAAUGCUGACAUGAGUAACGACAAAGGGGGUGAAAAACCUCCUCGCCGGAAGACCAAGGGUUCCUGUCCAACGUUAAUCGGGGCAGGGUGAGUCGACCCCUAAGGUGAGGCCGAAAGGCGUAAUCGAUGGGAAACGGGUUAAUAUUCCCGUACUUCUGACUAUUGCGAUGGGGGGACGGAGAAGGCUAGGUGGGCCAGGCGACGGUUGUCCUGGUUCAAGUGCGUAGGCUUGAGAGUUAGGUAAAUCCGGCUCUCUCUAAGGCUGAGACACGACGUCGAGCUACUACGGUAGUGAAGUCAUUGAUGCCAUGCUUCCAGGAAAAGCCUCUAAGCUUCAGAUAGUCAGGAAUCGUACCCCAAACCGACACAGGUGGUCGGGUAGAGAAUACCAAGGCGCUUGAGAGAACUCGGGUGAAGGAACUAGGCAAAAUGGUACCGUAACUUCGGGAGAAGGUACGCUCUUGAUGGUGAAGUCCCUCGCGGAUGGAGCUGACGAGAGUCGCAGAUACCAGGUGGCUGCAACUGUUUAUUAAAAACACAGCACUGUGCAAAAUCGCAAGAUGACGUAUACGGUGUGACGCCUGCCCGGUGCCGGAAGGUUAAUUGAUGGGGUUAGCGCAAGCGAAGCUCUUGAUCGAAGCCCCGGUAAACGGCGGCCGUAACUAUAACGGUCCUAAGGUAGCGAAAUUCCUUGUCGGGUAAGUUCCGACCUGCACGAAUGGCGUAAUGAUGGCCACGCUGUCUCCACCCGAGACUCAGUGAAAUUGAAAUCGCUGUGAAGAUGCAGUGUACCCGCGGCUAGACGGAAAGACCCCGUGAACCUUUACUACAGCUUGGCACUGAACAUUGAACCUACAUGUGUAGGAUAGGUGGGAGGCUAUGAAGACGUGACGCCAGUUGCGUUGGAGCCGUCCUUGAAAUACCACCCUUGUAUGU